AGAAGGGCAACAGUGGAGACUCUGGGGUCCCUGGAGGCCAGCUUCGAAGCUGAAGGCUCCAAGGACCUUGACAGACGGAGGAUUUGCCCAAGAGUUGCUGACCCCUAACCUGAGGAUGGGAAAAGACCUGUCACCCUAACACUGAAUCCAUCCCAGAGGAAAUGAAAAUUCAGGAAUGUUUUGGAGCAGCUCAGUGUUUGCCAGUGGGUAGAGGAAGCAGUAGGGUCUGGAGCCAUGCCCACUGUGGGAAUGCUGAUCCUCAUUCUGAGCCAGGGCCUGGCCUGCCCCUGGCAACGCAGUGACUCACGCUGCCAGGUCCGCACAACGGAGGACUCCAGGCCAGCAGGAAACAGGUGGCUACCCUGACACAAAGGAGACGGACACUGACUCUGUUAGAGGGUGGUAACAUUUGAGCCGGACCCUAAGGCUGAGUGCAUUUCUGCAGAACCAGGAAGAGCAGAGGUCUCCACUGCACAUGGUAGAGGCCCCAUGUGAAAGUGCGAGCAGAGAAGGCAGUGCCAUCACCUACCGACUGCUAGAAGCAAUGUGUGUAGAUCGUGAGAAAUGGGGCAAACCACAAGCUUGGCUUGCAGCUCAGUUGGUAGAAUGACUGGACAGUGAGCGGGAAGACCUGGGUUUGGCCCCCAGUAUCACACAAGCUGGCACGAUGGCACAGCCUGUGGUCACAGCACUUAAGAGGUAGAGGGAAGAAAAUCAGGAGCUCAAGGUCAUCCUCCAUACAGAAAGUUCAAGAAAAACCUAGGAUACCUGAGCCUUUGUCUAAAAGGGGUAGGGAGAGGGAUAAAGAAGAAAUAAAAAUCACUAUUAUUCAUGUGCCACGCCCUUCUAAUUAAUCACUGUCACUCCACACUCUGAUGCCUUACUUUCAGACCCUCUUAUAAGCAUAACACUAAAAAGAAUACACAAAAGCUGGUGG